rnacentral:rRNA from 1 species
UACGUAGGGGGCAAGCGUUAUCCGGAUUUACUGGGUGUAAAGGGAGCGUAGGCGGCGCGUUAAGUCUGAUGUGAAAACCCGAGGCUCAACCACGGGAGUGCAUUGGAAACUGGCGGGCUGGAGUGCCGGAGAGGUAAGCGGAAUUCCUAGUGUAGCGGUGAAAUGCGUAGAUAUUAGGAGGAACACCAGUGGCGAAGGCGGCUUACUGGACGGCAACUGACGCUGAGGCUCGAAAGCGUGGGGAGCAAACAGG